AACGAACGCUGGCGGCAUGCCUAACACAUGCAAGUCGAACGAGACCUUCGGGUCUAGUGGCGCACGGGUGCGUAACGCGUGGGAACCUGCCCUUAGGUUCGGAAUAACUCCCCGAAAGGGGUGCUAAUACCGGAUAAUGUCUUCGGACCAAAGAUUUAUCGCCUUUGGAUGAGCCCGCGUUGGAUUAGCUAGUUGGUAGGGUAAAAGCCUACCAAGGCGACGAUCCAUAGCUGGUCUGAGAGGAUGAUCAGCCACACUGGGACUGAGACACGGCCCAGACUCCUACGGGAGGCAGCAGUGGGGAAUAUUGGACGAUGGGCGAAAGCCUGAUCCAGCAAUGCCGCGUGAGUGAUGAAGGCCUUAGGGUUGUAAAGCUCUUUUACCCGGGAUGAUAAUGACAGUACCGGGAGAAUAAGCUCCGGCUAACUCCGUG
rnacentral:rRNA from 1 species